CGGACGGGUGAGUAAUGUCUGGGAAACUGCCUGAUGGAGGGGGAUAACUACUGGAAACGGUAGCUAAUACCGCAUAACGUCGCAAGACCAAGAGGGGGACCUUAGGGCCUCUUGCCAUCGGAUGUGCCCAGAUGGGAUUAGCUAGUAGGUGGGGUAACGGCUCACCUAGGCGACGAUCCCUAGCUGGUCCGAGAGGAUGACCAGCCACACUGGAACUGAGACACGGUCCAG
rnacentral:rRNA from 1 species